rnacentral:rRNA from 1 species
GUGAAAUCCCCGGGCUCAACCUGGGAACUGCGUUCUGAACUGGGUGACUAGAGUGUGUCAGAGGGAGGUAGAAUUCCACGUGUAGCAGUGAAAUGCGUAGAGAUGUGGAGGAAUACCGAUGGCGAAGGCAGCCUCCUGGGAUAACACUGACGUUCAUGCCCGAAAGCGUGGGUAGCAAACAGGAUUAGAUACCCUGGUAGUCCACGCCCUAAACGAUGUCGAUUAGCUGUUGGGCAGCUUGACUGCUUAGUAGCGAAGCUAACGCGUGAAAUCGACCGCCUGGGGAGUACGGUCGCAAGAUUAAAACUCAAAGGAAUUGACGGGGACCCGCACAAGCGGUGGAUGAUGUGGAUUAAUUCGAUGCAACGCGAAGAACCUUACCUGGUCUUGACAUGUACGGAACCCUCCAGAGACGGAGGGGUGCCUUCGGGAGCCGUAAUACAGGUGCUGCAUGGCUGUCGUCAGCUCGUGUCGUGAG